GGGUGAGUAACGCGUGAGCAACCUGCCUCUCAGAGGGGGAUAACGUUUUGAAAAGAACGCUAAUACCGCAUAACAUAUCGGAACCGCAUGAUCCUGAUAUCAAAGGAGCAAUCCGCUGAGAGAUGGGCUCGCGUCCGAUUAGUUAGUUGGUGAGGUAACGGCUCACCAAGACUACGAUCGGUAGCCGGACUGAGAGGUUGAUCGGCCACAUUGGGACUGAGACACGGCCCAGACUCCUACGGGAGGCAGCAGUGGGGGAUAUUGCGCAAUGGGGGAAACCCUGACGCAGCAACGCCGCGUGAAGGAAGAAGGUCUUCGGAUUGUAAACUUCUUUUGUCAGGGACGAAGAAAGUGACGGUACCUGACGAAUAAGCUCCGGCUAACUACGUGCCAGCAGCCGCGGUAAUACGUAGGGAGCGAGCGUUGUCCGGAUUUACUGGGUGUAAAGGGUGCGUAGGCGGCCGAGCAAGUCAGUUGUGAAAACUAUGGGCUUAACCCAUAACGUGCAAUUGAAACUGUCCGGCUUGAGUGAAGUAGAGGUAGGCGGAAUUCCCGGUGUAGCGGUGAAAUGCGUA
rnacentral:rRNA from 1 species